GGUUCGCCGCCGUUGUUGUUGUGAGAAGUUCAUUAAACCUUAUCAUUUAGAGGAAGGAGAAGUCGUAACAAGGUUUCCGUAGGUGAACCUGCGGAAGGAUCAUUG
rnacentral:rRNA from 1 species